rnacentral:rRNA from 1 species
UACGUAGGGUCCGAGCGUUGUCCGGAAUUACUGGGCGUAAAGAGCUCGUAGGUGGUUUGUCGCGUUGUUCGUGAAAACUCACAACUCAAUUGUGGGCGUGCGGGCGAUACGGGCAGACUUGAGUACUGCAGGGGAGACUGGAAUUCCUGGUGUAGCGGUGGAAUGCGCGGAUAUCAGGAGGAACACCGGUGGCGAAGGCGGGUCUCUGGGCAGUAACUGACGCUGAGGAGCGAAAGCGUGGGGAGCGAACAGG